AUUGCACGAAAAUCACGUCAAAAUGCAGCCAUUAUAGUCUGGGAAGACUCUAUGCCUGUAAAACCUAAAGUCGGCUAGGCGCAUGUGUGUGCGUGUGUGUGGUGUUGCUACAGUGGCCUCCAGACUGACGAAGAGUAGAGCCAGCGGACCAGCUGGACGCACACUGCACUUGAAACGAACGUAUGACAAAGUAGUCUCCCACCCAAAUGAGACAGCGCAAGUCAUCUAGACAGCCAAAAGCGCAACCAAAGGGAAGGCCAGAGGCCCGUUCCAACCGUACAAGUUCAUUCCUCCAGCCAAAAAUGGACUGUCCAUGCCAAAGCCGCUAGAAUCUUACAGGAGACAUAUAUGUUACCCAUAUCAUAGUACUUUACUGCCAUGGAUACUGUUAGGAAGCUCACGCCCGAAAGUCAACGAGGAAUCGGACUGUUUCUGACCGGACCAAACGCUGCAAAACAUUCGGAACCGAAGCUCCCAAAGCAUUGAAGGCCAUUAAAGCAGAUACUAAAUUUCACUGAAGCCAUUAGCGACGUUAAUGAAGACGGUGUAGGGGUCGUAGGCAAUGUGGACGCAAUGCUGCAGCCAGCCGACGACAAUGACGCCACUCCGGUUGUCAACAGCGAGCGGGCCAAACAUCAAUGUUCCUCAUAUGGAUACAAUCGCGAUGGGCCAGGAAACAGGUUGCGUUUGGUGGUUCCGGUUCAUUGCUGCUAUGCAUCAUUACUUCUGCAACCUGGAAAGUCGUGUAGUGUUAUCUUUCAACGUGAUGCAAGACGAACGAAUGUGAACGAACUCUAUUCGAUCAGCGCUUGAGAGAUUGGUGUGCGCGUGUUGCGACAUUCCCAAACCCGGCGAUUGCACGAACUAAACUGUAACUCAUCGGGGGGGGUCUGGGGGGCCGGAGGGACCCCCAGCGCCUUACAGAUUCGGAAUACCUUUAUUCCCGCGACUAAAAACCUAUUCCUCCGUUCGGACUGGAAAAUUAACCGGCAGAAAUGAAAAAAAAACACUGCUCAUGAUGUGAUGAUUAUCCGUCACGAUGCGAUUGUUUGCUUCUAUCUCUGAUAUCCGUUGUCUGAUAGUGUUUAAUUUCGACUUGCACAUACAUGCCUUUCCUGUCGAACCCACAUAGACACACACACACAGACAGACAGUCACAGAUCGAUAAGCACACAGAUAGAUCUGUACACCCUUGUACGCCCUUGUCUUGUCCACAUGCACGCUUCCACCACGCGAUGGACUUAUUCAUUCCCUUGCCGCAGUGCGACUUGAUCGCCUUGAUCUGUGUGCGUACGCUUUUCUAUUUGUUAUUAAUCGCUGCUGCUUUUAUUGAUUUCCCCUUUACGUUGGUUCCCUUUUGGUGCGCAUCAGUGGCGGUAGAAGCGGGUUGUUUUAGUUAGGUACGGCAACCGAUGAUUGGGAUGCAUGGACGUCUGUAAAUGGUUUAGGGACCGCCGUCCGUACUGUACGACUACGGACCUAAACCUCACAUUCCAGGGCAGGAUCUAUCUAGAGACGGUAAAACAUUUUGGCGGCUCUACAGACGGCUUUUGCAAGAUAGAAGACAGCCGGCACGCGCAUGAUGGCCACCGCGGGCCGCACUGCAGCUGCCUGACAAGUGGAUUCCGGGUAGUGAUUAACUGAUCAUCCGGGGGGGGCGUAUUCUGCGGGGGGUAAUCCGGUCGCAUUUGGGUUUUUAUUCACUGUGUUGUUUGCUGUGAUUCCGACCUGCAGGUCGGCAGCUGCUCCCUGCCCUGCAUUGCACUUCACUGCACGUUGACCGUUGCACGUGCAAGAAGGCGUUGGCAGCGGACGCACGUGCGUCCGUGCACGGACUGUAACUUUCGGGUGCAUAGGUUCCAUCGUGGA
rnacentral:lncRNA from 1 species